ensembl:lncRNA
AUGAUUUCCAGAGCAGCUUGAAAGACAGUGUAAUGUGUACAAUUGAAAGAACGCUGUGGGGACAAGGAACUUUCCUCUGAUCAAAACCUCCACCUUCCUUUCCUACAUCUUCUCCUCUCGUAACACUGACGUAUAAACAAAAAAACCUAUUGAAGGGCCAGCAACAGAUUUCACCGCCCCUUAAGAGAACCAUAGCAGAAGUCCACAGCUCCUUCCUCAUAGGCCUUUCCCCAUUGUCCUGGAAGUCCGUAACAGCUUGAACCAACAUAUCCGAGGAAUCAUCCACCUGAUUGUCCAAAUUCCGGUGCAACAGCUCCCGUACUUUCUAAGGAGACUGAAGAAAGCUCAACUUGCUCCUCAGAUCAUGCUGUGGCUGUGUGUGAGUGUGUGUGUGUGUCACCCAGAGUGAAUUCCUGCCUCCUGUUCGGUGUUCCCAUGACAGACUACAGGUGACAGGACAGGUAUUACACGUUGAGGAAGGAAAAUGCUGUGAAAGAGCCAAAAAACUGUCUGCUAAGAUGAUUUCCUUAUGACUUUGAGCUAAUGUUUAUUAUUUGCAGACAGUUUUUUGGCUCUUUCACAGCACUUUCCAUCAUCAACGUGUCCCCUUUCCGUCAAAUGUUUUGCAAACAUCAUGUCCAGAAAAUCCACUUUUGUAAGCCAACAUUAAACUUGUUGACAAAAGUGUAUAAUUCUUUAACGGCACACCUAUGUUCCGA